AUUGAACGCUGGCGGCAGGCCUAACACAUGCAAGUCGAACGGUAACAGGAAGAAGCUUGCUUCUUUGCUGACGAGUGGCGGACGGGUGAGUAAUGUCUGGGAAACUGCCUGAUGGAGGGGGAUAACUACUGGAAACGGUAGCUAAUACCGCAUAACGUCGCAAAACCAAAGAGGGGGACCUUCGGGCCUCUUGCCAUCGGAUGUGCCCAGAUGGGAUUAGCUAGUAGGUGGGGUAACGGCUCACCUAGGCGGCGAUCCCUAGCUGGUCUGAGAGGAUGACCAGCCACACUGGAACUGAGACACGGUCCAGACUCCUACGGGAGGCAGCAGUGGGGAAUAUUGCACAAUGGGCGCAAGCCUGAUGCAGCCAUGCCGCGUGUAUGAAGAAGGCCUUCGGGUUGUAAAGUACUUUCAGCGGGGAGGAAGGGAGUAAAGUUAAUACCUUUGCUCAUUGACGUUACCCGCAGAAGAAGCACCGGCUAACUCCGUG
rnacentral:rRNA from 1 species